ensembl:lncRNA
GGUAUAAAAAAAACAAAGUGCUGUGGCCUGCUGUGUCUGGACCACACAAAAGGGCAAUGCGUUAUGUAACAUGUGUUCCAGUUCUGGUUUUGUACCUUCUGAGUGCAUUCCCCGCCAGUGUUUAGUGCGAGCGUGGCAGCAGUGGAGUGAUAACAUAGUGAAGCAGGUAUUACAUUAAUGAAUCUUAACAAGGGGAGAGUUUUUGGGGUCAUUUUCUUAGACCUAAAGAGAGCCUUUUACACUGUGAAUGAUUGUGUGCUACUGCCGAUGUUCAGCUCUCUCCCUAACUUCAUGUAUGCUAAGGUAGACCAAGAUAAAUGAGUUGUCAGGUUUUCAUAGUCAUUUACUGUUGCUUUACUUGACCUUCUUGGAAAACCCCUGAUAGACACCAACAUUUACCCAAACAGCAUGACUUCCUAGUGAUUUUGAUUUAGUCCAUUUUUGUCACGAGUAGAUCUGCAAUAAUGAAGGUUUAGUACACUGCAGACUUAACUCUUGAUUAUGGUACGAUUAUGUCAUGCAUCUAAAAUACUUGAUGAGAAAUGAAUACACGUUGAUAGCACGCAAAGUGGUCUACAGUGAAAAAGGAAUGAAUCCGCUAUCUUAACCUCCAUAACCUUUCACAUAUGCGGUACUAUUCAUUGGCAUGAGAUAAAGCAGAAAAAUAUGUGCUGCAAAAUAUAUUAAAACGAACAAAAGUUGUCUUGAGACCAGGUGGAAUUUUCUCCAUAUUAAGCCAUGACCCACAUACUGAAAUAUUAUCUCUAAAAAUGAGAAACACAUCCCAAUGCAACUUGAGAUCUAAAUCACACAUGCAAUCAGUUUCUCUUUUUUCUUUUAAAAUGAAUGAUCUUUCAACAGCUGCAGUCUGAUCUUCUUAUCCAUCCUUGCUCCUUUACUGGGUAUAUGAAGGUCAGGUGAAGGUAAUGCAGGGGAUUAUGGGAGCUCAGUGACUGGUCCCUCUGCUUGCCAUGAAAGGGUGAAGUUAAUGGAUCGGAGAGGAGUGGGAGGUCUCCAAUCUCUCUGCCGCAGGCCAUGAAAACCAGUGCCUUUUUAUUGCAGAUUGACCCUCACAAGCUGUAGCUGGAGGCCACAGACCUGAUGUCUUGGAUGGGGACCUGGGGAGGGUCUUUGGCUGAAUUUACAGUUAAUGUACCUGCGUUAAUGAGGCGGCUAUGGUCCACUGGCCUCCUUUGCAAAGCCAUGUUUGGGUGUCCAACCCCUCGUUGAUCGCUACAGGUCUGCGGCGAGUCGUAAGGGAGAAUAAAGUUGUGCCCUCUCCACCCUCAUAUGACUUUGGGUCUGAUGGGCUAUAGCAAGUUGCUCAACUAUUGCUAGACAAAGGGCAACUUCCUAGUCAUUAUAAUUUAAGUAAUAGACCCCCUAGUGGUGCUCAAGCACCUGCCCUUUUGCCCUGGAUGAGUAAAGUGCCCCUUCUGCAAUUGUUUCUUCAUUCAAUAUUUAAGAAUAAAUAUUUCUCCCUCUGUCAUCAAUUCCCCGCAAAUGUGUUUUGAUAUCGGACGGGGCAUUUAUUGGAGUUCUUUAGGGCACCUUUUAGCCAAAGAGGACGUCACGAGCGAUGUGAAUGAAUGAGAUGGUGUGAGAUCUUGCCAAAUCUCACACCAUCUGACGUUGUCAUUUCAGAAGUAGUGGUUUUUGUAGAGACUAGUUAUAGUAGCUGUACACCUAAUCGCAUUGGUUAUACUUGCAAACCCCAAAACCACCCAAACCAAAACCAAGAUUAACACUACAGAACACACCAAGUAGUUUUAGUAAAAGUAGUUGAAGGACUUCCAACAUUCACGUGUAGACUGUGAGACUUUAUUUUGAUAUGCUCUCACGUUACAGGUAUAUUCUCUCAUGCAACAAAAGAUACAUUUGCCUUUAGGUAGCAGUGGUAGUAGGCUAGUCAUAGGAGUAAUAGAAGUGGAUUGAGUAGAACUGAAGUUGUAACAGUAAUAAAAGUAGCAUCAGUCCCCGUAGGAGCUGAUGGUCUGAACAUUAGCAGUAGUGGUGGUAUCAGCGUGUGGACCCUCACCUCCCCUGUAGCUCUUUGACUACUGCUGGGCUCAAUGUCAUCCAACGUAUGGGGACUGACAGAGGUGUGGAGGGCUUGGCAGACCCGCUACGGACUUUAAUGGAGAUGAAUGCGUUUUGUGUGGACAGGGGCUGUGAAUGAAACUCUGUGGCGCUGACAGACAGAUGGACAACAUGCUGUGCGAGUUACUACGUGUGCCCAAUGACGUCAGUAGCCUUCUAAAUAUAAUGAUCUCUUAAAUAACCUGUGUUAAUAGAUGUGUCUUGUGUAACACCAUAUUGUUAGGACUGUAACACUUCUACUGACUCAGUACUUUCUGUGUAGUUACAGAUAACUUCAACAUAACCCCGAAGCCAGCAACAUCAAACAGGGCCGAACACCGUGUUUGCAUAUACAAUUAAUUAGGGAAAAGUCUCUCACUUCACUUGAAUCUGAAGCUCUUUGGGUAUGUUUCUAUUUACAUACUGUGCUCCAAUUAGACAUUUGCCUGCUGAGGUAGAUGUUGUAUUCAUUCAUCUGAUAUUGCACUGUUUAUUUAACAAAUUAUAGAAUUAUUUUUAUUUGUUUUAAAUGUUUAGUUAAGGAGCCAGAACAAAGCCAGAUUCUCCACCCUGUUGGUCCUCGAUCACUAGGGGCCCCCUGACCAUCCCCUACUCAAAGAGAUACUCUGCAAAGCUGCAAAAGGACACAAAAAGAAACCAAAAAAGAUACACAGGGGUAGUCAAAAAGACUAUGAAGACAUAAAAUGAUCACAAAGAGAAAGACAUCGAGGCAAGCAAAACCAUAGGAGGGAUAUACAACGACAGAAAAAACAAACGGAAGAGGCCGAAAAAAGUCUGCGUGUCACGCUCCGACACAGAUGGUGGAGUCUUGCAUAUGUGAGCCCAGGGCCCCAUUGUUUCAUAAUUCGCCAAUGGACACAAUAUUUGGCCUUCAUAAUAUUCUAUAACACAUGGGCAAUAGCAGUAUGUGUGCCAGACCUUUUGUUCAUUGACAUCAGUUAAGCUCUCAACACAGUCAUCCCAGAGACAACGAACCUCAACAUGCACAAAUUCUCAACAUCAUACCGGCUGUACGUGGAUUGGAAACGUGGACAGCUAAGGGUCGUCACAGAGAGUUUCUCUCCUUGAUGCAGGACAACUACCAGAGACGUCAUUUGAAAGAGUCUACAGCAGCGCAGAGGACCGGUCAGCCCCCCGAUCCCAUUGUGUGUGAACGGCCAUCGGUCUGAAGGCACCACAGUUUUUACCCCCAUGAUUUCACAGUGGUGGAGACUCAACACACACACACAUACCAUCAUAAAAAUAAAACACCUCGUCAUCUUAUAUCGCUCGAAGUUGGCUGCGAUGGACUCCAGCCCCCCCGCGACCCUGUGUCCAGGAUAAGCGGUUUGACAAUGGAUGGACCUAGUCAUCUUACAUUUCAUUUUCAGUGUUUCCCCUAGCAUUUUAACAGGGGGGUGCGCCUCUCCCCCCAUGAAAAACUGUGCAAUAAAAAAAAAUAAAAAUAAAAAUGUCUAAUAAUUUCUUACAUACGUUCCCACACAGGAUCGGUUGCCUCACCCCAAAAUGGCCGCUGCCACACUCCCUACAGCCCCCAGAAUGCCUCAAAGGCUUUAAAAGCCAGAGAACCUGGCUGGCAAAGGGAGAGAACGGAAGGAAGCCACGCGAACGACCUGUAAGGAGGGAGGACUCCCUCCACCACACAGUGAAGGGGACACUUUGUCUUUGAAGCUGACACAGGACCGAAGGCCUUAAAUUAGGUUUGUCUGUUUAUUUAAGGAAAAUAAACCUUUUGUUGACGCUACAUUUGUUAUAUUUCCACACACUGACAUCUUUAUUUAAAAUGCAGUUUAUAAAUUAUACUCAAUUAUUGCAAUGAUACGUGUGUUUUGCUUGUAAAACAGAUUGAUUAAUUUCAAAGUAUGUACUUUUAUGACUCAUGAUAUCACAUCAUUUUACAUAGUUGUAUGUAAAAUAGAAACAUUCCUGUAGAAAAAGGCUGUUCCCUAGAGUUUCAGACGUUAUUCAUGUAUAUCACACAUUUUUAUGCAGUGUAGUAGGUGUCCUUUGACAUCACUCAAUGAGCCAGCUAAAGCACCAGGAACCUGCUGCAAUGAGGGACUAUUCAGUCAUUUACACACACAACUUUCUUCACCACAAUGCAUGCGAGGCAUCGGGGGUUGAACAUUCCAUUCAUGGAUGUUCUAUGACACAAAAAUAGACCACAGGCGGUUGUUGUAUAGUGACACCCUUUCUCCUUUAAAGCGGUGCCCUUUGCUGAGGUGUUUGCUGCCGGCUCUUUUGUUGACACCGCGGUCAAACUGUUAAUGUCGCUCCACAAGCAGAGGAUCCCAGAGUGGCUGGUUUACUCUUUGCAUUCUUGUCUCCCAGAGAAAAACAACAUUCAUGGUUGCGUCAGAAAAGCUCCGCAAAUAUUCAAGUCACAAUCUGUGAUCUCCUGACCGAGACAAGACAACUAACUUCCAUUGGGAAGAAGCAGUAGUAGAGCGACACUUCCACCAUUCUGGAGUGAAAGCAACUGCUGUAUAGCAAAGGACGUCCGUAAACCGACAACUUGCAGAGUGCCAUAUGAAUAGUUUUAUUUUCAUACUUAAAAGGAAUGUUGUGUAGGAUUAAGAGAAUUUAAUGACAAAAAUAUCUCAUACAUUUUUUUUAACCAAAAAAAAAGGUACACAGCAUGUGAACAGCGUGCAGGAAAAGGUUUUCCCGAGGAUGACCCAGAGACUAAAUAAAUCAGGAUUUCCCAGCCACUGCUACAGCCUUGCUACAGAUUUAUAUUCUGUACAAUACUUCCCUGCAGGAGAAUGCUGCACAUUGUAAAUGUUGACCACUUGCAGCACACAAACUCUUUUGCUGCAUGAGGACAUUUACAGGUUAUGGUUUAUAGACUUUGCCUCGGAAACAACGGAGCAUGUACUGUAUUUGCUGGAGUUUAGUGUGUCACUGCGCUCAAUUAUGAAAUGAUUGGAAACAAAAUUUUAUUUGCAUUGCAUUCAUAACCUGCUCUGAGUACCAGGGGGCAGUACACCAGACUAAUCCUCCACACAACACAUUGUUAGAACCCUAAUGUCAGGAUUAAGAGCAUGCAUUAGUGAAGACAAAGACCUCGAUGUUGAGAGAAACAUCGAUGCGCUCCGACUUGUGUCACAGCACGGUAAACACAGCAGGGACCUGUGAGAUGAGGAUGCACAUCAUUAUCUUGCUUUGUAAAAGUGAUUGCACUGUGAUGCCGCAGGGAGGGUUAGAGGUAAGGGUGGUGCCAAGUGGCCCAGCACCAUUAUUUAGCACUACAUUACCUCCCAUCCCCUCCCCAUUAACAGCUACAGAUGGCGCUCCUUGGGCCACUUAAAAAGGUGCUCACAGCUGGUGAACUUGAGCCACUUCUGGACUUUGGCCAUUCACAAAGCCGACCAGAUGGAAGGCGAGUCCAUUAGUGGUCGAGUGUGUGAAAGCCUGAUCAUACGUGUGCACACAUAGAUGAACGAAUGUGUUCCACGGCAAUCUGUUCAACAGAAUUGUAACAAGGGUUUUGGGCUGAUUUAUUGGACUUAAUAAACUUUAAAAAGGUAAAUGCCAGCAGUUGAGAUUUAAAGUUUGGUUCAAUAUGCAACAGCUGACGGUACCCUUAUUGUGAUAUCUAGACUGAGGAAUCAAACAAUAAUAGCACUGCAAAUGUUUUGAAUGGUCCUCUUCUUUUGGCUCUGGCAGAGCGAAGUUAUUUUGGAUGUGGAUUUUAAUUUGAGAAACUGGCUCCCUUGUUUUCAGCCACAUAUACCUUAGGCCUGCUGCGAGACCUUUUAUUUAAUGUCUUCCCUUUCUCACUCCUUCCCUCAUGGCCGCCGAUUGCCCAGCCGUUGACAACUACAGGGCACACAUGAUCAAUGCGAGGCAGUGCAGGAAUCCUUCCUCUCAAACAAAUCAUUUCACGAGAGAUUGCGGGCGCUGACGUGGCUCCAGUCUCACCUCGUGGGCAGCGGGUUUGGCCGGUCCCUUGACUGCCUGGGGUGCACCUGAGCCUCCCGACUCAGCCUGCCAAGCAACUGUCUCCAGGCAACAGGCUGAGGCCACCUGUCAUUUUAGUUCAAUGGACACACCUGCCCACCAACCUGUCUACAGUAUUGUCACACGGCUAGACGAGAGCGUAAAGGCGGGGGGGGCUCUUGUGUUUUAUUGUAAACGUUUGGGCAAUAAUGAAAAGAUGCCGCUCGUCUGCCUGUGACUCGCACUCGAUAUAUAAACCUUGCAUUUGUAGGAAUGUCAGACACUAGUCUCUUUCUCAUACUCCAUAAAUCUUUUGUGUUUUUCCUAAUAAUGGGAAAACAGCAAAGAUAAUAACAAUUUCUGGAAAUCAUCAUAAUCGUCACAUGGAUGAUUAUAAACCGGCAUCUCUUCCUCGUCAAAAUAAAUAAAAAAUCUGUGGUGAUACAAUGUAAACAUUUUGACAGUUCGGUGCUGUUGUUAGGCCCGACGCGCAGCAUGAAUAGUCAGUAAAUCGCUGCCUUUCAGCACAAAAUAGUUGUGGCCACCAAACGUUGUGAAUCUCAUUUUAGUAGUCUCGAGAAAAAAUUGUUCCCGUACGUGCGUGUUAACAGCAUUGGGUCCCGCACCAUCGCAUUCAUUCACAUCGCUCAUGACGUCCACCUUAAUUGUUUGGUUGCGAACUGAUCAAAUCGAUAAUUUGUGGGAUUUUUUCGUUGAUCGCGAUCGAGCUAAAAGGUCAACUAACGGUCGCGAAAAAUCUAACCUUACUUUGAGUAACGCUCGGGUCAAUGUGCAAAGCUAUUGUGACGCUAAAUUUCAUCUACCCGUAUUAUAAAAAGCUAUAUUCUAGGGUUACAAAUCGUUAAUGACCUAUGUUCUUAAUUUUUACAAAUGUAGAAAUCGGCAUACAUAUAUUUAUCUACAAUUACAGAGUUGUAGAUCUACACGAUGUUCGUUAUCCGUAUGGAAUUUCAGUCAUAUUCUAUACUACAUUUCAAUCUCUUUGUAUUGUGAGAUUUCUGAAAACACUACAAAUUACUGCUACUACAGUUAACUAUUCAUCACAGAUACCCCCCUCUGAACUUUUCCACCUCAACCUCCCGCGGUUCUUCCACUGACAGACUCCUUUGAAUACCCUUUUUCAAAGAGGACUCAGUUAGGACCCUUUCCUCUGUCAUAAACGAGGUCCCAUUAGAUUCAUCCAUUGAAUCACACACAAUUGAAAGCUUGAGUUCUGGGUAAGACACUUAAUCACUCCAGGAAUCAUCCCAUGAGUUAAUGCAUCAAUGAUCUGUGUGAUAGUCAUUUAACUUUGUGCUUGUGGAGAAUUUCUAAAAAAGGUUCCAGCAUAGAGAUACGGAUAUGUUGAGUGACGAAGAGGAAAAACAAGGUUAUCAUUAACCAUAUGUUGUAAUUCCUACAAAGAGCCCUAAACUUGUAUUGUUUUACUUUAGUCUCAAGUAAAGCAUACAACUCAAUGGUAGUUUGAGAGUUUUGCCUGAACUUAAGCACUUUUUCACCUCCCUAUACUAAUGACAGUUAAAGGCCGCCUACAGACAAAAGAAUGGCCUCGUUUCAGAUUGGAGAAAAUUGUUCCAACUCGCUAAACCUCCACUUUCAAGGGUCCCGGCUGCUUUGACACGCAUAUCCAUUCUCCCACAACUUGCAUUCAUGUAUGCAGCCAAUUUGAAAAUAUGACUUGGGUUCACUGGCAACAUCUGACUCCAAUGGAGGAGGCAGUUUUCUAACAGCGCAGAAUGCAGUAAGGGUGUAGAGGGCAGGGACACUGCUGAGUCUUGCAGUGCUUUGAGUAUUUCAUUCUUCAGCUUCAACUUCAGUUGCCUCAGUCACAAAAGUAUUCUUGGGUUUUUUAGUUGUUAAACUAUUACAGAAUAUCUUAAUCACGUCAGAAGCUAAAUUGGUAUGGAAAUAAGUGAGAAAAAAAUAUCUAAUACAAAACAAUCUUCAAUCAUUUCUUGAUGUAUGUUUACAGCCAAUAUGACAGCAGGUGAGCAUCGUAUUGUUCUAUGUUUGUAUUUCUUAUCUUCAUGUGUUGACAAAGCAAGACCAAGUGUAAAAGCUGGAAGGUGUACUCCGGAUCAGCAACAUAUUCCCACGGACGAGGCUUAUGCUCAUGUUUAGCCCAUACAGGUUCACCAUCAAAAAGGAUUACAAAGUAUUUAAAUAAUAUUGCUUGAUAAUCAAUGUAAUGUAUGUAUCGAAGUGCAUUGCAAUACACUUGAAACAACCCAUAAAACCAUUAUUUUCCUCCUCCCCAACUCCAAAAUGGGUGCCAUUUGUCACAAUUAAACUGAGCACUAGGAAGGUUAGAAAAGUAGCUUAGAGAUAGACGAGUGUAUUUCUGUCUGUCUUGGCGAUGACGACUUAUUCACUUCACCUUAAACUGCGCCAAUUCUGUACUGGUUUGGUCAAAAAUGGAACAUGGGUUGUUGGAUUAACUGUAUUAUUAUAUUUCUUAACUUUGUUUUAAUCCCUCGUUUAUUCACUUUGUCCCAUAAAUAAAUGUGAAUAAUGAUGGUUCUCUUAUUAUCUCAUUUCACCCACAAGUCACUCUGAUCCGCCUAAGUGGGUGGGAACCAGUGGAUGUUUUAUCAUUACAUAAGCGAAAUGUCUGAGGAAGUAUCGUUAUACAGCAUGUCGUCACACUGCAAGCAUACAUGGUAGGACUGUAAUUAUCGAUGUAUAAUGUGAUUGCCCUUUGGGGAAUUGGUUGUUUAGAGUUUAUUCAGUCCAAUUAGCAGGGUUCGCUUUUUUGCCCAAGGAAUGUAUUGAGUCUUCGGUGCCAUAAUUGCAUCUACAAGCGGUUACCACGGAUGCAUUGAUGUCAAAUUUCCUCAACGCACAAUAUUCAUUUCAAUUACACUCUUUUUCUUGGUUAGACGUUUCUUUCACUCUAAGGACUACUGGAAGAACAUCCCAAUUGGCUCUGGAGAGAUACAAACAGUGAGUGAAAGAGCGUUUUAGAAGAGAAAGACAGCACAUUUACUCGUCACAUGUCUGAGCGGGUCUCCCUAGUCUGAACUCAAUGCAGUCGAACUGUAUUGAAAUGCUAAUCUGCUUGCAGUGGAAGAUGUCUGCCUGUUUCGACUUUCUUCCAAAUCCCUGUCACAGUAAAAUCUGUACAAAAUCCACAGACGAGAAAAAAAAAAACUUACUUAAUUACCGUACUAUGCGGAAGCUGCCCUUUAAUCCAAAUACAGCACAAUGUGUGGGCAUCAUAAUGCGUAUUGAUUUUGUGGAUAACAAAGCGGUGUGUGUUACUGGUAUGUGAAUUGGUUGUGUUGCUACGACCCAAUGUAUCCAUAUUCCCAUCAUGAUUUAGCCCUGAAUAUUCCUUCAUGCUUUCAAUAUUUACCGGGCACCCCAUCAACAUCCCCAAUCCUCUACCCUUCAUUUGCAUUUUAAUAUGGAGGGCAAUAGGGCAGAGGUUUGGAAUAAAUAAGGUGUGUUGUCAGCAAAUGCUCACUAAGGGCUGAAACGAUCAUGGUUCCCCGGCCCACAGCUCUACCAACAGAAGGGCCUCCUUUAAGUUGGACAUUAUACGCAAAAGAGAAUCAUGUUUAGAAAAAAAAUUCUAUAAAAUCCCUUCAGCAUUGAGCUUGGCAGCAAAUCUGAGGUCAUUUUAUCUUCUAUAAGGUGGUAAUGGCAAAGAUUAUAGUCUGUAAUGAGAUUUCACACAAAACAUUGAAUGGAGAGAGUGGGAUACACUUUAACAAUGCAUUUUCUGAGGAGGUUAAAGAAGUAUUCAGGUGAUGCCAUUAAAAUUGUCUUCUCAAAAUUAAAGAAUGCCCCCCUCUACAAAAUAUAAAAAAUAUUGAGUAUUUUCUCACUGUCUUCAUGUAGUGCCGCAGCUUUUCACAGAGACUGCUGUAGUAAGGCUUUGACCUUUGCAUUGGGAUCCAUUGUCAGAAUGGGAAAUAAUGUACACAACUUUUCUCAUUAAUGUUUAAUGGCCUUAAGCUAAAAAAAAAAAAAGUGUACAGUGCAUUACUAUGCAAUCACAGUUCACGAAAACAAAGUCUUAUAACAGUGUUUGUUCAAGUAUUGUUCAAAAUGUUCUCAAACAAGGUGUCAUGGUUGGAAACAUGGUAAACUGUGAUUUAAUUAGAUUUUUCUUGAUAAAGGGAUUCAUAAUAAAGGAAGAAAACCAUUGGCAUACAAAACAAGAACUGUGAUACUGAGCACAAUGAAUGGAGUAAUGGUAUUGGGAAUAUACUGGUCUAUUGUCAACCUUCAAAAGUCAUGUUAUUUCCAGCAAUUAAAUGAAACCGUUUAAGACCUAAAGGGAAAUGGGAUUUAACCAUUUAAAAUUGUUAUAAUAUCAGCAACAAAAAGAUACCAAUCGUAUAAUAAACACGUGACAUCGCUGAACCACUGGAUUUCAUUCCUUUAUUAUGGAGUAGUACUCAACCGAUGAAUUAUGACAGGAACACUCACAAUUUACAGAGAUACCGAAGAAUAUGAAUUGGCAAACGAUGACACUGGCAUUAAUUCUUCAGGCAGUGUUUCAUAGUACCAUAUACACUUUAGCACAGUGACUAAUCAUCUCUUCAGUAUAAUCUGACGUAUUGAACCUUUUUCAGAGGGUUAGGACAGAGAUCAUUGAAAGACGAUAAAGAUCAGAUGAAGGGACAAUACAAAAGCUAUUGUCAUGGACAAAUUUAUAUUGAAUAAACCUGGAGGUCUGCAGAAUUUCCAAUUUCCAGCGCAGUGAGGAAGCCACCACGCUUACAAAAGCUGCAUGGAUUACUUUAAGGCCCUGACAUGAACAUUCUGCUGCACUUCCCAGGGUGCCGUUAGUCUCUUUUGAUCUUGAUGCAAAAAGCCAGUGACACUUUGAGGACGCCAGUGGGCUCCCCGACCAAGGUUUAAAUAAACAAACACCAUAGCCAGGAGCUCCAUGCAGAGCGCAGAGAGACAAGCAUCCAACAUGUGGACGUUUUGCUCUGCGUUGGAUUUACAUUGGUGAUAAUGAGAACUGCUCUCUGUAUUGCUGGUGGAGCCCAAUGAAUGCACGCCCCGUCGUGGCUUUACCUCGACCCGAUCACAAUCAACCAGGGCCAAAAGACAAACAGUAGAAACGGUGCAUGCCACAUUCCCCUAGGUCAUCAAGAAGCACGGGAACGUGUAGCUUUUCGGAUACCUGGGGAGAGUCUGCAGCAACGCAACUGAUGCACACUCCAUUUUAAUGAGUCCUGUGCCAUUGCAGCAAGCACGGACCCCAACGUGUGCAGGAGAUCAUUUGAAAGGAACAGGACAUAGCAUGUGAAACAGUGAUCGUGUCUCUUCUCGUCUUCAGGCUUCGGAGAUGCAAAACAAGCCAUUUCUUGGAAAGGGCUUUACUAACCAAAUUAUGCCAAGCACACAAACUGUUGUUCAGUAAUUCUACUUUGGAAAUUUCCCCAAAACUCUGACUUGUGGUUAAAUGCCUGUUUAAAAGUAAAGAUGCCACUGCCAGGAAUCAAUUCUCAACAACAGGUGUACGCUGUUAUCAAAAGAUUUUGGAGUUUAGAGUCCUGCAACUGCAAUUCUUUCAAAGUACUUAUUAGUAAUCUGACACCAUUUUGGUAGAAAGAGUCCAUAAAACAUAUUGUAACGGUCUUCUAGAACUGGUGGUUAAAAAAAAUAAUAAUAAUGAAACUGACAAACACUGAUUUAUUAAUAAAUAAAACAGAUUCUAUUUUUGAAGCUGUAGAGAGAUGGGAUAUUAUACAUCAGGGUAGUUGUAUAUACGCAUGUGUGUGCGUGCACGCACUGAAGUGUGCAUGCCUGGGGAAAGUUUGCUUCAAAAGGCUCGGCAUUGUGAGUAAAUAACUCAUGAACACACUAAAUGGGUUGAGGAUAGGGGAGUUACAAUGGCAGUGUCCUUCAUGAAAAAUCCAGUGGCUACAAGUGUGUGAUUUUCAUGCUGGAGGGAAAGACCUUGGGAGGUAUGAACCUUUCACCGUACACUUCCCGGGCAAGGAAUAGCUUUUAGACAGGGAAAUCCAUUCUCCCGGUUUGAGAUGAGUAGUUUGGCUCAGCUGCAGUAGAGUGUGAAAUAAGUAGCAGCCUGUGUACACAUAACUGACCACAGAUACAUUGAGGAUUUUAGUCUGAUCCACAAGACUAAUUGAUGUUUUGGUUCUUCUCAAAUAAAUCCAACAUUUGUGAUGCAAACAUUGUUACAUUAAAGCUCACCAGAGAGAUGAAUUAACUGGUCAUUCUUAAGGCCAGUUGUCUGUUGCUAUUUCAGGCUGCAUCAGUGUAAAAUAAAGUUCGAGAUGUUAUUUUUGACUGCUAUUUUGUUGCUUCAGUUCUUAUAAUGUACUGUUUGAGCUCACAGUAAAAGGCAAAAAAAUGUGGAUAAAAGUAUGCAAGAAAAAAAUAAAUAGCUGUAAGAUAGCUGGAAUAAUGUGGACUAUCUUGUCUGUAAAAUAAAAGUCUCAGUGAAGACUGUACAAGCCACAUUGUGUUGAACACUUCUGCAAUAAUUAACGAGCCGACUACACUUAAUGAUGGAUCUUUUGACAGCAGUCAUGUGGGAAAUUGGAUCACUGAACUGCAGGACAGCUGACUAAAAUGUCUGUCAUGCCCACUCAAUUGUUGAUACUUUGGGAUAUUAAUCAGGGAGACUAAAGCGGCAAUGUAAUUUGGCUGUUCAGUUUAACCUUUUUGUCCAGAUUGGGGUUCCCUAAAAAAAAGUGUUCUACCACAACAGAGAGGGUUAUAUGUCCCAAGAACUGUUUGGUUGAAAAUUGUUUACAUAUAUAUAACAGCAUUAGCGAUCCAUAACCUUUCUGGUGCUGUUGAAACUACAAAAUGUGAAUGUGACCAAAAUUUUGUUUUUUUAUAGAGGAAACGUAUGCAAUUUCAAUGGGUUUGAAAAUUGUUAUGCUUCGAAAACACAUUUUUUGAUCUGUAAAAUAUUCCCCAGCCAUUAAAAUACCCCUUCAACCAAACAUCCGUCAAAUUAACACUCUGAGUUGGUCAGACUAGAGUAGAGCUGGUGUCCCCAACUUAUCUUUAUACUCCCUACAAUACAUUCAUUAUGCUGGUUCAAAGACGCUUUAAAGUCAAGGCCCGGAUGGAUGAAUAUAAAGUGUGAUCUUAGCAUAUCAAAUAAGAUGACAGCUAAUAAGAUAAAGGAGACAGUUAAUAUGCUUGAAACAGACAAAUCGUUGCUCCCAAUUUAAGCCACAUGGGUGAAAAAUAUGAACCUGAACUAUCUUUUUAAUGUUCAACAUUUGAAGUAACAACUGUCAUACAUGGGGAUUGUGAGUGGCAGGGAGGGUACUCUCUAAAUUGAAAAUGUCAGUAUGUGGAGGGGAACUACAUUCACUGACGAUGCAAUCCCUGGUAUGUCAAUCAAGAUCUCUUUUGUGAGUACAGUGCACUCAUUCCAAUUACACCACCACCAUCUUGCACUGGAGAUCUGCUGAUUCUCAUGCCAAUGUAGAGGAAAUUGCAUUUCCUUGAAGCUUCCAGAAAAACAAAAGCACAAGGAGUUUGUACUUUCCUUUUCAAACAUGCAAAAAUAUAUCAAAUUAAAAUAGGGUCAGCGUAUUGUUGUGACAGCUGCCAAUAGUAGAUAAUGAACACACGCACAGCAUGUGUUUCAGUUAUGUCCCCAUAUAUCUGCCAUGACUUUGCUGUCAGUCUAGCUGGUCUAGCAUUUGUUUGCUGACAUCUCUAUGUAUUUAUCGGUGUUUAGCAUGCAAUCAUGGUUGGCACAAACCUCCUUGAUGGUAAUUAUAGAGUCAAUAUUCCCAUUUCUCAGCCAGCUUUGCUGUUUUGAAAGAAUUGGAACUGUGCCACACAUGUUACCCACCCUACACGUCGAUGGGAGAGGAAACAAACUGCAUGCACGUAGACUACUAACAAGGAAAUACAGUAUAAAGUAGUAGCUGCUUACCUGUUCUGAAGUUACGUCGAUACGCAGUGUGCAUGCCCGGCAGCUAAAAAAAAAAAAAAAAAGUGACAUUUGGACAUUAAGGCUCCUUUUAAUUCAGUGGUGCUUUCUAGAGCUACAGCUUACUUAGAGAUUUUGGGGUUAGGGUUAUUAUUUUUGUCAGCAAUAUCUUUGAAGGCCAAGCUCAAAGAUCAAUGCGCUGGAGGGUGAUACUGAAUGUAAAGCUUAACUGCAGUUGUACCUUUUCAUAACAACACUAAACAGGCAGCACUUUGGACUACGGGUAGAAUUUUUGUAUUCUCUCCCAGACCCAAAAUAGAAACUUUCAGGUUUUUAACCACACAACAUUUCUGAUAUUAUUAAACUUGUGAAGGACCUCUACUCAAAUCCAGACUUGAGGCUUCCUGGAAUCGUGCAUUUGAUGGAAGCGUCCAAACACUUGGACAAAUGAUAAAUAAAAAUGAGAUUGGACCCAAAUACAAUGGAGUUCUCCACAGCACUGUUCUCAAACCGCGUGUGUUCAAUAUUUAAAAGUUCCAGCUAGCUCCAGCUGAGAUAUUAAAAGAAAAAAAGGUCCUAGGCUACCGUGAUUAUUAUUUUCCAUCCAGCUGCGACACUAUAUCUUUCAACAAAUGUUUUUUUUCUAUUAUUCCUUUAUUCAUAGGCUACAAUGCUCUGUAGCAAGGCUGCAACCUGAAUGAACCAUUUUAUUCGUACUUUUUCAAUGUCAGUUACCCCUUUAUAGAAUGGUUAAACAGUUCCUCAUACCGCACCAGGAAGUACACUGUCAUGUUUAAAAUGUUUACGUUAACUACUGUGAAAUGGUCUAUAUGCAGCUUUUCGUAUCACCUUGUCUUUCUCUUUGUUUCAGAGCGCUAAAAAAAAAAAAAAAAAAAAGACAUUCAUUGCCACUACCACAUUCUUUCCCUUAGUCAUGUUUUAAAGGGUUGACAACAUCUAUUAAUCACUCAAAUACAGCAGCAGUUGUGUGUUUGUACCAAGAAGGCUUGUUCCUGUGAAUCAGCAGGAAGGUAAAAAAAAAAAAACAUGCCUGACUAAAAUUCUCCUCUACUUCGGCAGAGUUGGUUCUUCGACAUCAUUACAGGCGGCGGAAAGCAAACUGUCACCUUCCCAGGGUGGCAGGUGGCCCAUUUAAAAAACUUUCAAGCUAAGCUGAACAAGCAGAGCGGGGUCCUUAUUGUUCACGUGCCCUAUCCCUCGCAGACCGGCACGGGCCGCCUUUAUCGCACACAUUGCAGUGUUGCGGUGGGACUGUGAUGUCAAGCCUCAUUGUAAAAGUGACAGUCAUGCUUGGCAGAAACCCAACUACCCGGGGCUUUGCUAGUGUCACGAGUCAGCCGAUGAGAGAGAGAGACCUGUUGGCAUGUUGCAACAGUAAAAAAAUGUGUUGACAACUGACAUGAAACAAGGAAGGGUCCUGCAGGAUGGAGCUGGCAACUAAAUUGUACUCACUGUAGACUGAUGAGGCACGUUUUUUUGUUCAUUGGAUUGACUGUAGGGCUUUAAAAUAAGGCAGUCUUCAUAAUUUGGGUUUUAGAUUCCCUGAUAGCUAUGCUAGUGGUAUAUAAAUAGUGAAAUUAGCAGGUCAAUCAAAAAGGUAAGUUUUAUUAAUACAUAAACCUUGAUACACUGCUGUGUAUAUCCGUGUGUUGCUGCUACCUCUGGCCCAUGCAAAGCUACAGGUAAAAGAAAAUCAAUUGGAAAGUUCAGUUCAGCGGACCUUUCACACCUCAAAACAUUUAUCACAUUUUAAUCUCCUGCCCUCCCCUGUGGUUUGUGUAUAGUUUGUAACACAUCUGUACAUGCCCAAUAUGUACAAAUCAUUGUACAGAUAUCAGUGUCCAAAUUUGGUCUCAGAGAUAACUGCCAUUUAAGCAGUGAAGAGCAGUGGGGAUUAACAUUGGGACAAAGCCUUCACUCAUAUGGGGGCAUUGAAUCAAGGGCACUAUGAACACAUGCAUCACAUUAAGGAUAAUGGUAUCCUAAAUCUUUACAUGAGAACCAACGUGACAAUUCUUUCCCCAGAUGGAGCUCAAGAAAGUUUAUUUUCUAAAUGUGCCCCUUUUGCUCCUUCCAAUGUGUGCAAAUGAUAACAGACCAACCAACAAUGAGACAAAGGACCAAUGCAGCGCUUAAAUACACUGGAAAGAUGCAGGUGAUUGGACACAGGAGGGAACAAUUAGGGUACAAGACAGAGAAUCAGAAGGGAGGGAGGGAAAAACACAGUGAUAGUUGAUGGUUUAGACUUCACAUAUUGAAAGUGAACCGUGACCUUUGACAAACAUGUUGAAAAAACAUUAGCUAACAUUGAGCAAACAGCAUCUGCUUACCAGAAGGACAUAAACACCUGCCUCUUCCCGGCAAAUGUAGCAAAUAAUCCUGUAUCAAUCGCAUCCAAAUGUCUGACGAGGUCCAGAUGUUUCUGCCAAAUUGUGACGGUUACAGAGGUAUAGCGCUUUAAAUGUGUGCGUUUGUGGGUUUGCUUUGCAAUGUGCAAAUGGCAGAGUGGAUGUGCAUUGACUUUCAGGAUGUGUGGCUUUUAUAUUUAUAUGUUUAUUCACACCCAUUUUAUUCCAUUUGCAGCUGCUAUUUUCUUUUCUAUUCAAAACAGAGCCAUCUAGGCUCUUUAAAUGUCAUCAUUACAUUGCGUCAUUCUCCAUUUUGAAAGACAUUGCGUGAAGGCAAUUUUAGACACGCUGAUAACCAGAUGGAAAGCCUUUCGUUCGACGCGAACACAUUGACUGUUUCCUUACAUCUGAUCUGGUCGGAUUUCUUCUCAGUAGAAGGGAUUAGGAAGUAAUAAAAAAGAUACACAUAUCACUCGGGAGGCAAUAGUUGAAAGAAUGGAGGUUUUGAAUAAUUCAAAUCUUGAUCUUUAUUCUAUGUGUUUACCAAAGGGCACUCUAUUUCGGUUUAAGACUACUUAUACCUGCAAUGAAUAUUUGAUUAAAGUGAAGCCUUUGUCUAAAAGUGCAACUACAUUAUGCACCACCCCAUCCAAUGCUUUUUGUUGUGCACACUGAUUUGAUUACUAAUGUGAAACACAACGUCAUACAUAUUUACGAUACCAACCAUGAAGGCUAAAGCUAGAACGUUGAUUAGCUAACCCCGGGGGGCUAGGUAGUGUUUGCUAGAUUGCAAACAAUAAGCAGAAGAGGUGAAAUAAAACACCAAUAACGCAAUUGAAUAAUUAAAUGAAAAUAAGCUUGAAAUGUACCGUAUAUCAGGACGUAACAACACACACUGAAACACACUCAAAAUACAAACAUAAAAACCAACUUUACAACUAGAACACCAUUUUCAACUUGUGUAAUAUUGAUACAUAUCCAUUUGAUUUAUUUACUUAGGAUAGAUCAGGGGUCCCUGGUACCAACAGGCCCACCGACCAGUACUGGUACUGGAGCUUGAGCAAUACAGCGGGAAGGUUUACGGGAGAUUUUACAUUAGUUUAGAAUUACUUUCUACGUAAAUGCUUGUUUUUUUUUUCUAAAGAAAGAAGGUACGCCCCGCCUAGCACAGGUUCUCUACAUAUGGUUAUUUAGUUAAAGAAUAUUAAACAACAUAGUUAUGGCCCAACACAACUGACCUGAAUCCCACAACAAAAAAUUUCUUCAGCAUCGGACAACGGCCAUGCAACCAGAAUACAGAUUACACAAAGUAUGUGACAUCUAAGAAGCGUGCAUUUAUUCCUUAUGUCACAGCUUUCAUUUAAUUUAAUUUCAGUUUCAUUUCCACCUCUCACUCACCUGAUCAGUUCAUUCUGUGCACCUGCUAGUCACAUCCACCUCGUCAGCCCGAUCCCACUCACCUGUCUGCCCUGCUCACUCGCUCCAGUAUUUAAAGCCCACUCAGUCACUUGCUCGCUGCCAGACUACCGGCUAUGAUCACGGCAAGUCCCGGUGACGAUACAACCGGGUUUUGUUUGUCGAGAGAAAAAUGAAGACUCUGUUUCUGGGUCCGUACCUCACUCGUUACACCUUAUGCACGCUCAGACAACUGCAUUGGUAACCGUUUCAAAAAAAAAAAAUCUAAAUUCCCCGAACUACAGCCACAAUGACAAAUGCUGUAGAUUUAGCAUGAGCUUAGGAACAGAAAACCACACCAUAUCUUUACUGCAAUGUUUUUUAAUUCUUCUGCUUCUGAGCAGAGAUAUGCAUGACUCCUGCUGAAUAUCGCUCUAAAUGUUGACACACACACACACCCUUUUGGAUACAUGCCCAAAACAAGCAUGCAAUCAGGGAUUGGAUGCGGGUCGACUGUCAAUUUCUUUUUUUUUUUUUUUUACAAAUUAAAAUUAAAUACAGAAAUUCUCCCCAGCCAUGUUGUAGCAUCUUCUUUUGCUGUAAUUCCUCUUUACGUGUUUUGAAUAGUCACUUAAAUAAACAAACUCCGAAACGAGAGUAUCUUAAACCAAUUAUCUUAUCGGCUGAAGCAAAAGAAGCGAUGGUCACAGUGCGCCUUAGCAUAUCUGCAUCCAGCUAUAUUUAGCCUUUGACGAGAGUAAGAUACAGAAGAUGGGAACAAAUUACUUCUGUUAAAGCAGAUUGGUUUUUUGAUUAGUUUCUAAUCAAAGAAGUUGUGAAACUUUGACCCGCUAAGUGAACAUGCUGUUUAUCUGUCAGGGUUGAACUUUUUGUCACGUUUGGAAGGAACGUUUCCUCCACGUCUUUGAAAUGGUGGAACUGAUCGAGCAGUAAACUAACUACGGUUGGAGCCUUUCAUGUUGUGAUCUCUAUCAUAAAAACACUUAUGUACCAUGAAUACAUGAAGCAACAGAAAUGUCUGUUAUCUAAAUAAACUGUCUAAAUAAAAUACCUUUUUACUAAGUAAGAUUGAGGCAGACCUUUUACCUGUAACACCAAAUUUCUAAACUGAGGUAUUACUACUUUUAUGAAAUGUACUGUGAUGUGGGAGGUGAGUGAAUCAUCGGCUAAUAAAGUGUACAUUACACCUAUGAACAAACUAACUUCCUGGUGCUUUUCUUUGAGAGUGCAUCACAACAUUGCAGACUUAGUGGAAAGAAAGUUUUUUACCUUUUCAAAUUUACACCCUCUGUUUGCCAACACCCACAUAACAAUGGUGAGGUUUUGUGCCAGAGGAGCAGGAAUAGACAAGAAGCAGAGAUUGUACUGAGGAGAUGUUUAAGCGUUUUUACCACCCAUCCUCGCUCCAGGGAAUUUAAAACACCUUUUCGAUGUGCGUUGGCUUCUUGCCAAUCACUUGCUUUGCAUAGUAAUGUAACCGGAGGGUUUGGGAUCUGCAGCAAUGUAGGAGGUCAGCGGCGCGACACCGCCGCUGGCAAACACCCAUUUCUCCUGGAAUUAUGCUAGAAAAGUAUCAUCUGCAGGUGGUGCGUUUUUGCCCGUCACAUAUUUGAAGUGUGUGUGUGUGUGUGUGUGUGUGUGUGUGUGUGUGUGUGUACACACAAGCAGUCAGGAGUUGGAAAAAUAUGUCGAGUGGAUUUGAGCAUUAAAAUAAAUUAGUUAAAGUUUAUUUAUUUUACCCAUAUAUAUAUAUAUAAAUUAAAGUGGUAGACUUGAACGUUUGAUGGGGAAAAAACAAAAUGCGUGAGGGAGAAUUCAAAUGCUCACCGGUGUGAAAUCCGCGCGCGCGCACACACACACACACCAUAUAUUGUCUGUGUCAUAGCGACUGUAAGCCAACAUGCCCACACGAGUGGAGGUGCCAUCCGCCGGCUCCCUCAAGGAUGAAGAGGCAGGUGACACACAGCGAGGACGCUGCACACCACCAUCCUUCAAAAAGCUGUAUAGGCUGGAGAAUCGUGUCCUCAGCCAAAUACAACGCUAUACUUCUAAUGUGCUCUUUCCAGAUCUGAGGUCCGUUUCAAGAAGCGGGUUUAGUGGAAACCCAGUUUGUUAACCCCGAGAUGAGGGAAACUCUGGCUUGUCUGUUUCACAAAGCGCGCUUUCAUUUCCUCAUUCAUUCAAGUACUCUGUAUCGGGCCGAUUUUAGCGCAGUUUAGACAUUACAUCACAGGUCAUUUAGCUGACUCUUUUAUCCAAAGCCACUUACAUUACAUUUCUAACCCAUGGCUUUUGCAAUUGCUCAGGGACACUUUGACAUGGGACAUGGAGCAGCGGGGGCUUGAACCACCAACCUUGUGGUCCCCAGCGCACCCUCUCUUCCCCUGCACCACGACGACCCCGAACACAGACAUAUGAACAAGAUGAAAUACGAUUUUUUUCUCGAGCAUGUCACAUCCUUUUCUGGACGAUCCUGUCGACAAAGAAGCGCUAUUACGUCGCAGGGUGUUAAACACGUCGGGAGAGAAAUAUUCGUUUUUGUGGUGUUCCUUGGUCACAGACCCGUGAGAGCCAUUAAAGAGGAGUUCCACAGGUGGGCAGCAGGUGAAUGAUGUAAAGCCCUUUUACAAUUAUAAUUCCGUUAAUUACAUGACGUUGCAAGAUCAGAAUGGUAUAAGGAAUUGUCAUUUUAGGAUUUCCCAAUGUUGGCUGCAUUGAUGGGACACAAAUUCCAAUCACUGCUCCUUCAGUGAAUGAAGCAGACUAUGUUAAGGAAAAUUGACCACUGUCACAAAAUGUAAAAUACCACAUCACAAUACUGCAAGUAACAAGUGUCAUUCUCUGUACCAUCAAGAUCAUGUGUGAUGCUGCAUACCUAAUAAAUAAUGUAGAGGCCAAAUGGCCCGGGUCUGUGCAUGGUCUGGGUACAUCGUCUUCCCUCAGCAAAAGGAUGGAACGUGGUAAGCAGCUUAAAGCCUUCUACGGUAUUAUUCACCCGUCUCCCUCUUCAGAUACUCAAAUGUAUACCAUAUACAUUACAGGAGAGUUUGAAGGCCUUCUGCUGGGUGACAGGUUGCCAGCCAGCCCACUCUGCUCACUCCUGACCCUGAUCCAGGCCCCGAGAGCAACUUUAAUGUAGCCCACUGUAGGACAAGAGCCCGGGUGGAGAUGACCAGGAUGGAAGAGCAGUCAGAGACAUCAUAUGCAGAAAUCACUUUACCAACUAAAACCCAUGCACCAAACUUCAUUUUGUCGUCUUUAUUUCCUAAAAAUACAAAAGCAACAGUUAGGUUUCUAUGUUGUUCUAAUAUUUAACACAAACCACCGGUGAUCAUGCACCCACCCAGCUUGUGUUUUAGGAUUUCGAGACCAGUCUUUUUUUAUCUAGCGGUCCAGCAACACCAUUUCAAGGUUACUUUUUAAAAUAUUUUUUACUAGGUGGAUCCUAAUAAAGGUCCUUUGCAGGUAACUGGGAAUAACAUCAUGACAUUAAAAUCAUACAGUUAAACAGCAUAAAUCUCUGGCAGUUGUUUCACAUCUCACUGUGUUUAGUUGUGAUGUGGAGGUUGAUGGACCCUCCUCCUGUUGCCCAGCCACGUUCUGUUAAGUAGAAUAUCCAGUCAUAUGUCACACUCCAUAUCCACACACUGCUGUGUGGAUAUGGAGUGUUAAGAGUUGUGAAUGUCGAGAUGACUAUCAGUAACAUAGUGGUGAUAAUACCUCCUGUAGGCCUUUGUCACAGCAGACAAUGCGUCUUCAUCGGUUCCCUCCUGUGGAGAUGAGCAUUGUUAUAGACUCAAAAGUACUUGCAUCAUGUCUGGAGUAUUUAGUUGUCUUACAGCUGUGGCAUGAGGGCCCACAAGGGAGAGAGCACCAUCAGAAUCUGUUGGGACAAAUGAUAAACCUGUAAAGGGAAUAAAUGAUCUAUUCACAUUGAAAUAAGAUGAAUAUAAGGCCAUUACAUCUUAUAAAGGCACUUGUGUCCUGGGAUGUGGCUGCCUCAGAUGAGGAGCUCCCUCCAGGGAUGCCUUCAGCCACUGGCCUUCCCUUGUUUAGGCUGAGGGCCAGCUCCUCCGCCAGUUUUUCGCACCUUUGACUUUCUGUUGGCUGAGUGGAAGUCACAUGUUAUUUGAAAUGGGCCAUGUACUUUAACAAAACUGGAUAGGUGAGAGGACAUUUAUGUAUGCGAAAUUGUAUUAAAGCUACAUUACAUUCAAAUUUGCCAAUGAAUAUUUACUCACGUUUAAAAUGUGACUACAACGAAGUACAGCCAUGAGCAUAUUACAUGCAACACCGUACCUGUUUGAACUAUGUUUUUAUACUUCAUUUCCAGCUGCUUCCACGACCGUUUCUCUCUGGGAUUGCACCUGAAUAAAAUACAUUAGGUUAAAUACAAUUUUACCAGUUGUUACCAGCAAUAUUAUUCUUGUGAUUUAAAUGAGCAUGGGUGUGUAUUUCAAGCUUAAAUUGAAACUUACGCGUUGACCAGAGCAGCAGUUUUCUCCCACGCCGUGUGUCUUUUGCUGCAGUAGCGAUGUUGCAUUACUUUACGUACAUGUUCAUACUCGCCGUACGCUUGCAUUAAUACAUUAGUACGCCGAAUGAUUGUUUGUGGCGGUUGCCAUGGUGAAUCGUAGUAUCGUGGCUCCAUUCAUGCUGCGUUCAUACUGUGGUGGUGCACGCGCUGAACUCUGAAUCAACCUACUCCGUUGAUUGAACCAAGUCUACAGCACUGUUCGGAAACACAAAACUCAGAGUAGGGUUUGACUCAGUUUGUUAAACCUCCUACUUGUCACCACCGUCGCCAUUAUAUUGUUUUAAUUUCCCUCCAUUUGUGCCUCUUUCUGUCUACGGAUGAGUCAGUCAGGAAAUGUCUCCCAAGUAUUCAGCAUGUGUAUUUUGUCAAUGGCCAUUACUUUACUCAGUUCCCUAAAAAACAUAUUUUUGUUUUGUUACGAAGAGUCUAAAUAUCUUCAAAGUACCUAAUAACAAAGUAGCAAACAAGCAGUGUUGCCCAAAGUUAUUUUUUAUAAAAUACAUGAAAUUAUCCACAUUUCAUCUGUGACGUCUAAUUUUUCCCUUCUGUGAAAUACAGAAAUCCUUUCAUGUAUUGGUUUAUGCAUGCUGUAUCUUGCAGACGUUCUGCUGAUCAUCACCAAACAUUAAGGUUCUAUGUCUGAGCAAACGUUAUUUCUUUCCUUGAACGCUACAGAUGAGAUCUAAAAAUCCUGUGUCCCCAAAAAGAAAACCUAAUUGCUUUGGUUUGCCAUCUAAUCCCUUAUUUAGAGAUAAUUGAGAUUAUAGUUUCUGCUGAUGAUGCUAGAUUUGUGUACCGUCGUUGUGACGGGCAGCAGGCUACUUCCAUGUUAACUAAACUGACUGAGGACAUCGUGGACUCUGGAGCAAGGUUUAACAGUAAUGACUAAUGGAUUUUUUUGGUGACAACUGUUUAGGAUUAAAACGUGGUGGAAUUAUUGAGCCAACAGCGAUGACAUGGGGUUUUUUAGCUGUUAAUCCUGGACCAGCUUUUGAGUACACCCAAUGAAAAGAGUUCAACUAAGCCUGAACAUCGAUUACAUCCCCUUCAAUGAGGUGGGAUGUAGUGGAUUCAAAUUAAUUCGGUAAUUGAGAAUUAUAGGUCAAGAUUUAAGUCUUAAUGUAAUGUGAAGCUGAUAUUACCCUUCACUGAGUGGCUUACUCAAAAUGUCUCACUACUCGUAUCUACACAAUCUUAUUCACCCACAUCAGUAAUGAACCAUGUAACGUCUUUCCACACGGAUCGGCAUCUCCUUUUGUAUUCUUUAAACUUCUCCCAUGUCGGGUCAUAUCCGGGUUUGUAUCGCUGCCAUCCAGCUCCUCUUAUCUGCACUUUCUCACUUCACAACAUUGUUCAGCAAAUUGUCUUUUAAUGCUUUGCUUCCUUGUUACUCCUCGUUCAUAUUUUUGUGAACAAAGUGUGUAACAAGCUCCUUCUAUCACUCAUAUACUUAUCGAAAUGUAUCUUGUUUAAAAUAAACCGGUUAGCCAUUUUCUUGAGUAAACUUGUUUUCAGAAACGUUCCAAAAAUCCUUUUUUACGCCUCAGUACAACCUGAACUUGUGUCCUGUCAGGACUCUCCGGGUGAUUAGAUCUAUGUUUGGUCUCAGAUCUUUUAGGUACCUCCACUCUUAAAUAUAAAUGUUCAUUGACUCGCUUUGAGGUCAGUUUUUAUUGGGCAUCUGGAGUUUAUCAUCUUCACAAGUACAGUAGUAUCCUUUGCUGCCGUGCACUACUCAAACUCCUUUCCAUGGCAAAAUAUUUCUGAACUUUUUCCAGCCUUUUGCUUGAAUAUUAAACGAAGACAAUGAUGUAAGAGGACACAGCCGAUCCUUGAGCUGAAUACAUUAAUGAUUUAAAGAUGCAUCUUUUGAGGAUUGUCAACAUGUUUCUGGUUAAAAUCAGUUUACAAAUAUAAAAUGAAAACCAACUAAGCUUGCAUCAGCCCGGCCUGUGCGCAAGGCAAUAUUUUUGUAGGUAAAUAAAGCUAUUUAAAACACAUCAUGGGAUGUUAUGAGAUUAAGAUUGAGGUAGAAUAAAACAAUGUACUAUUCAGGAAGUUUUGAGCAAGCCCAUUAACCCAGAAGGUCUGGUCCUGAAAGGCUUCUGGGCGUGAAUGUGAUCAGUGUCACGACGGUGGAAUGGAAGGAGCCGGACAAGAGCUUUAUACAAAAAAGUACUUUAAUAAAUCCCAAAAUCAAAAAUGCCAAAAAAAAGAGGGGGGGUGGAAACGCUGACAGGGACCAGGAACUCACAAGUACAGGAACCACAUUCAAGAUAUGUAACAGGAUCAGACUUGGGGUCCUCAAUCCUGGGUGUCACCUCAGGGCCCCCUCGGUUUGUUCUAAGCAGCUCGGUGGUAGCCCUCUGGCUCUCGACCAAGCUAACUAGUUCAUUGAUAUUGCCUGGGUUCUGCUGACUCGCAAUCUUCUUGGCCUCAUACGACAGGGAUCGCAUGUAUUUGUCCAUCACAAUCCUCUC